UACGAAGGGGGCUAGCGUUGCUCGGAAUCACUGGGCGUAAAGCGCACGUAGGCGGAUUGCUAAGUCAGGGGUGAAAUCCUGGAGCUCAACUCCAGAACUGCCUUUGAUACUGGCAAUCUCGAGUUCGGGAGAGGUGAGUGGAACUGCGAGUGUAGAGGUGAAAUUCGUAGAUAUUCGCAAGAACACCAGUGGCGAAGGCGGCUCACUGGCCCCGAUACUGACGCUGAGGUGCGAAAAGCGUGGGGAGCCAAACAGGG
rnacentral:rRNA from 1 species